UGAACGCUGGCGGCGUGCCUAAUACAUGCAAGUCGAGCGCACAGACGCGGAGCUUGCUCCUCUGACGUUAGCGGCGGACGGGUGAGUAACACGUGGAUAACCUACCUAUAAGACUGGGAUAACUUCGGGGAACCGGAGCUAAUACCGGAUAAUAUAUUGAACCGCAUGGUUCAAUAGUGAAAGACGGUUUUGCUGUCACUUAUAGAUGGAUCCGCGCCGCAUUAGCUAGUUGGUAAGGUAACGGCUUACCAAGGCGACGAUGCGUAGCCGACCUGAGAGGGUGAUCGGCCACACUGGAACUGAGACACGGUCCAGACUCCUACGGGAGGCAGCAGUAGGGAAUCUUCCGCAAUGGGCGAAAGCCUGACGGAGCAACGCCGCGUGAGUGAUGAAGGUCUUCGGAUCGUAAAACUCUGUUAUUAGGGAAGAACAAAUGUGUAAGUAACUAUGCACGUCUUGACGGUACCUAAUCAGAAAGCCACGGCUAACUACGUG
rnacentral:rRNA from 1 species